CCCCCCCGGUGCUACAUCGCCGGGGAUGGAAAGUGCCACAGAAAUUAUACCGCCUUGAAAGAGGUAAGGGUGAAAUGGUGGGGUAAAAGCCCACCGCUCCAAGGGCAACCGCGGAGGCAGGGUAAACCCCGUCCGGAGCAAGAUCAAAUAGGGAACAAGGAGCGGCCCGCUCCAUUUGAGUUCCGGGUUGAUUGCAUUAGAUAAAUGGUCGACUCCUUCGGGAGAACAGAAUCCGGCUUACGGCUCUGCCUGCGCU
rnacentral:RNase_P_RNA from 1 species